rnacentral:rRNA from 1 species
AUCGAACGCUGGCGGCAGGCCUAACACAUGCAAGUCGAGCGAGCGGCGGACGGGUGAGUAAUGUAUGGGGACUGCCCGAUAGCGGGGGAUAACUACUGGAAACGGUGGCUAAUACCGCAUACUAUCGGAUAACCCAUAUGGGAUUAGCGAGUAGGUGGGGUAAAGGCUCAACUGGGCGACGAUCACUAGCUGGUCUGAGAGGAUGAGCAGCCACACGGGAACUGAGACACGGCCCAGACUCCUACGGAGGCAGCAGUGGGGAAUAUUGCACAAUGGGCGCAAGCCUGAUGCAGCCAUGCCGCGUGUAUGAAAAAGGCCUUCGGGUUGUAAAGUACUUUCAGUCGGGAGGCGUUACCAACAGAAGAAGCACCGGCUAACUCCGUGCCAGCCGCCGCGGUAAUAC